GACGAACGCUGGCGGCGUGCUUAACACAUGCAAGUCGAACGGAAAGGCCCUGCUUUUGUGGGGUGCUCGAGUGGCGAACGGGUGAGUAACACGUGAGUAACCUGCCCUUGACUUUGGGAUAACUUCAGGAAACUGGGGCUAAUACCGGAUAGGAGCUCCUGCUGCAUGGUGGGGGUUGGAAAGUUUCGGCGGUUGGGGAUGGACUCGCGGCUUAUCAGCUUGUUGGUGGGGUAGUUGCUUACCAAGGCUUUGACGGGUAGCCGGCCUGAGAGGGUUACCGGCCACAUUGGGACUGAGAUACGGCCCAGACUCCUACGGGAGGCAGCAGUGGGGAAUAUUGCACAAUGGGCGGGAGCCUGAUGCAGCAACGCCGCGUGCGGGAUGACGGCCUUCGGGUUGUAAACCGCUUUCGCAGGUGACGAAGCGUGAGUGACGGUAAUGGGUAAAGAAGCACCGGCUAACUACGUG
rnacentral:rRNA from 1 species